AGUGAACGCUGGCGGUAGGCCUAACACAUGCAAGUCGAACGGCAGCACAGUAAGAGCUUGCUCUUACGGGUGGCGAGUGGCGGACGGGUGAGGAAUACAUCGGAAUCUACUUUUUCGUGGGGGAUAACGUAGGGAAACUUACGCUAAUACCGCAUACGACCUACGGGUGAAAGCAGGGGAUCUUCGGACCUUGCGCGAUUGAAUGAGCCGAUGUCGGAUUAGCUAGUUGGCGGGGUAAAGGCCCACCAAGGCGACGAUCCGUAGCUGGUCUGAGAGGAUGAUCAGCCACAAUGGAACUGAGACACGGUCCAGACUCCUACGGGAGGCAGCAGUGGGGAAUAUUGGAAAAUGGGCGCAAGCCUGAUCCAGCCAUACCGCGUGGGUGAAGAAGGCCUUCGGGUUGUAAAGCCCUUUUGUUGGGAAAGAAAAGCAGCAGGUUAAUACCCCGCUGUUCUGACGGUACCCAAAGAAUAAGCACCGGCUAACUUCGUG
rnacentral:rRNA from 1 species